rnacentral:lncRNA from 1 species
UGUCUUUUCGCACCGGCCUGCAAUGGCUUUCUCUGGUGCAUGGGUGGGCGCAGUUCUCUUUUCUGCAAUCGGCCUGUGUUGUGUGGGUGUGUUGUGCGUCUUCGCGUGGGCGAGGAUUCUCGGGCGCGUUGGUCCGUCCUGCCUUCUGGCUCUCCGUGCCUGCGGGGGUUUCGCAUGUCUGGGCGGACUGUUCACUUUCGUUUCUGCCUUCUUGGUCGGAUCGCUCUCUAUUUCCACCGCUCCUGACUGCAUUAUAUAGUUCUCCAAGAAAUCAUCAUACUCCGUCCUAUCCAUUAACACCAUCUUCCUAGUCUUAUCUUCUCUAGUAAUGACAUAAUUCGCUGCUUUCAUCCACUCCUGUGUUUUCCUAAUAUUUCUCCAUUCUUUCUGUAUUUCCAC